AGUACUGUGUGAAACUUGACAUG
rnacentral:piRNA from 1 species